AGAGAUGCGGGGUCUACCGAGAGGGAGGGGGUUGAUGCGGGCCCGGGGGAGGGGUCGUGCGGCCCCUCCGGGCAGCCGAGGCCGCGGAAGGGGGGGGCCCCACAGAGGAAGAGGUAGGCCCCGGAGCCUACUCUCUCUUCCCAGGGCCCAGGCAUCCUGGACCCCCCAACUCUCUACUGGGCUGACCAGCCCUCCUGUCCCUUGUCUCCCCUCCCAGGGGGAGGCCCCCGCUGAGAUGGGGGCGCUGCUGCUGGAGAAGGAAACCAGAGGAGCCACCGAGAGAGUUCAUGGCUCUUUGGGGGACACCCCUCGUAGUGAAGAAACCCUGCCCAAGGCCACCCCCGACUCCCUGGAGCCUGCUGGCCCCUCAUCUCCAGCCUCUGUCACUGUCACUGUUGGUGAUGAGGGGGCUGACACCCCUGUAGGGGCUACACCACUCAUUGGGGAUGAAUCUGAGAAUCUUGAGGGAGAUGGGGACCUCCGUGGGGGCCGGAUCCUGCUGGGCCAUGCCACAAAGUCAUUCCCCUCUUCCCCCAGCAAGGGGGGUUCCUGUCCUAGCCGGGCCAAGAUGUCAAUGACAGGGGCGGGAAAAUCACCUCCAUCUGUCCAGAGUUUGGCUAUGAGGCUACUGAGUAUGCCAGGAGCCCAGGGAGCUGCAGCAGCAGGGUCUGAACCCCCUCCAGCCACCACGAGCCCAGAGGGACAGCCCAAGGUCCACCGAGCCCGCAAAACCAUGUCCAAACCAGGAAAUGGACAGCAUACCAAGACCCCAUCUCUAAAAGAAGUUUAAAAGAAUGUUUCAAAGGCCAGGCCCAGUGACUCACGCCUGUAAUCCCGUACUUUCUGGGGAGGAUCACUUGACACCAGGAGUUCAAGACCAGCCUGGGCAACAUGGCAAGACCUCUUCUCUACCAAAAAAAAAAAUUAAGAAGACAUUAGUUAGGCAUUGUGACAUGUGCCUGUAAUCCCAGCUUCCCAGGAAGCUGAGGCAGGAGAAUGGCUUGAGUCCAGUUCGAGGCUGAAGUGAGCCAUAGUCAUGCCACUGCACUCCAUCCUGGCCCCCGGUCCCUGAGAAGCGGCCCCCUGAAAUACAGCAUUUCCGCAUGAGUGAUGAUGUCCACUCACUGGGAAAGGUGACCUCAGAUCUGGCCAAAAGGAGGAAGCUGAACUCAGGAGGUGGCCUGUCGGAGGAGUUAGGUUCUGCCCGGCGUUCAGGAGAAGUGACCCUGACGAAAGGGGACCCCGGGUCCCUGGAGGAGUGGGAGACGGUGGUGGGUGAUGACUUCAGUCUCUACUAUGAUUCCUACUCUGUGGAUGAGCGCGUGGACUCCGACAGCAAGUCUGAAGUUGAAGCUCUAACUGAACAACUAAGUGAAGAGGAGGAGGAGGAAGAGGAGGAAGAAGAAGAAGAGGAAGAGGAGGAGGAAGAGGAAGAAGAAGAGGAAGAUGAGGAGUCAGGGAAUCAGUCAGAUAGGAGUGGUUCCAGUGGCCGGCGCAAGGCCAAGAAGAAAUGGCGAAAAGACAGCCCAUGGGUGAAGCCGUCUCGGAAACGGCGCAAGCGGGAGCCUCCGCGGGCCAAGGAGCCACGAGGAGUGAAUGGUGUGGGCUCCUCAGGCCCCAGUGAGUACAUGGAGGUCCCUCUGGGGUCCCUGGAGCUGCCCAGCGAGGGGACCCUCUCCCCCAACCACGCUGGGGUGUCCAAUGACACAUCUUCGCUGGAGACAGAGCGAGGGUUUGAGGAGUUGCCCCUGUGCAGCUGCCGCAUGGAGGCACCCAAGAUUGACCGCAUCAGCGAGAGGGCGGGGCACAAGUGCAUGGCCACUGAGAGUGUGGACGGAGAGCUGUCAGGCUGCAAUGCCGCCAUCCUCAAGCGGGAGACCAUGAGGCCAUCCAGCCGUGUGGCCCUGAUGGUGCUCUGUGAGACCCACCGCGCCCGCAUGGUCAAACACCACUGCUGCCCGGGCUGCGGCUACUUCUGCACGGCGGGCACCUUCCUGGAGUGCCACCCUGACUUCCGUGUGGCCCACCGCUUCCACAAGGCCUGUGUGUCUCAGCUGAAUGGGAUGGUCUUCUGUCCCCACUGUGGGGAGGAUGCUUCUGAAGCUCAAGAGGUGACCAUCCCCCGGGGUGACGGGGUGACCCCACCGGCCGGCACUGCAGCUCCUGCACCCCCACCCCUGUCCCAGGAUGUCCCCGGGAGAGCAGACACUUCUCAGCCCAGUGCCCGGAUGCGAGGGCAUGGGGAACCCCGGCGCCCGCCCUGCGAUCCCCUGGCUGACACCAUUGACAGCUCAGGGCCCUCCCUGACCCUGCCCAAUGGGGGCUGCCUUUCAGCCGUGGGGCUGCCACUGGGGCCAGGCCGGGAGGCCCUGGAAAAGGCCCUGGUCAUCCAGGAGUCAGAGAGGCGGAAGAAGCUCCGUUUCCACCCUCGGCAGUUGUACCUGUCCGUGAAGCAGGGCGAGCUGCAGAAGGUGAUCCUGAUGCUGUUGGACAACCUGGACCCCAACUUCCAGAGCGACCAGCAGAGCAAGCGCACGCCCCUGCAUGCAGCCGCCCAGAAGGGCUCCGUGGAGAUCUGCCAUGUGCUGCUGCAGGCUGGAGCCAACAUAAAUGCAGUGGACAAACAGCAGCGGACGCCACUGAUGGAGGCCGUGGUGAACAACCACCUGGAGGUAGCCCGUUACAUGGUGCAGCGUGGUGGCUGUGUCUAUAGCAAGGAGGAGGACGGUUCCACCUGCCUCCACCACGCAGCCAAAAUCGGGAACUUGGAGAUGGUCAGCCUGCUGCUGAGCACAGGACAGGUGGACGUCAACGCCCAGGACAGUGGGGGGUGGACGCCCAUCAUCUGGGCUGCAGAGCACAAGCACAUCGAGGUGAUCCGCAUGCUACUGACGCGGGGCGCCGACGUCACCCUCACUGACAACGUGAGUGAGCGUUUGGUUGAGGAGGAGAACAUCUGCCUGCACUGGGCCUCCUUCACGGGCAGCGCCGCCAUCGCCGAAGUCCUUCUGAAUGCGCGCUGUGACCUCCAUGCUGUCAACUACCAUGGGGACACCCCCCUGCACAUCGCAGCUCGGGAGAGCUACCAUGACUGCGUGCUGUUAUUCCUGUCACGUGGGGCCAACCCUGAGCUGCGGAACAAAGAGGGGGACACAGCAUGGGACCUGACUCCCGAGCGCUCCGACGUGUGGUUUGCGCUUCAACUCAACCGCAAGCUCCGACUUGGGGUGGGAAAUCGGGCCAUCCGCACAGAGAAGAUCAUCUGCCGGGACGUGGCUCGGGGCUAUGAGAACGUGCCCAUUCCCUGUGUCAACGGUGUGGAUGGGGAGCCCUGCCCUGAGGAUUACAAGUACAUCUCAGAGAACUGCGAGACGUCCACCAUGAACAUCGAUCGCAACAUCACCCACCUGCAGCACUGCACGUGUGUGGACGACUGCUCUAGCUCCAACUGCCUGUGCGGCCAGCUCAGCAUCCGGUGCUGGUAUGACAAGGAUGGGCGAUUGCUCCAGGAAUUUAACAAGAUUGAGCCUCCGCUGAUUUUCGAGUGUAACCAGGCGUGCUCAUGCUGGAGAAACUGCAAGAACCGGGUCGUACAGAGUGGCAUCAAGGUGCGGCUACAGCUCUACCGAACAGCCAAGAUGGGCUGGGGGGUCCGCGCCCUGCAGACCAUCCCACAGGGGACCUUCAUCUGCGAGUAUGUCGGGGAGCUGAUCUCUGAUGCUGAGGCUGAUGUGAGAGAGGAUGAUUCUUACCUCUUCGACUUAGACAACAAGGAUGGAGAGGUGUACUGCAUAGAUGCCCGUUACUAUGGCAACAUCAGCCGCUUCAUCAACCACCUGUGUGACCCCAACAUCAUUCCCGUCCGGGUCUUCAUGCUGCACCAAGACCUGCGAUUUCCACGCAUCGCCUUCUUCAGUUCCCGAGACAUCCGGACUGGGGAGGAGCUAGGGUUUGACUAUGGCGACCGCUUCUGGGACAUCAAAAGCAAAUAUUUCACCUGCCAAUGUGGCUCUGAGAAGUGCAAGCACUCAGCCGAAGCCAUUGCCCUGGAGCAGAGCCGUCUGGCCCGCCUGGACCCACACCCUGAGCUGCUGCCCGAGCUCGGCUCCCUGCCCCCUGUCAACACAUGAGAACGGACCACACCCUCUCUCCCCAGCAUGGAUGGCCACAGCUCAGCCGCCUCCUCUGCCACCAGCUGCUCGCAGCCCAUGCCUGGGGGUGCUGCCAUCUUCUCUCCCCACCACCCUUUCACACAUUCCUGACCAGAGAUCCCAGCCAGGCCCUGGAGGUCUGACAGCCCCUCCCUCCCAGAGCUGGUUCCUCCCUGGGAGGGCAACUUCAGGGCUGGCCACCCCCCGUGUUCCCCAUCCUCAGUUGAAGUUUGAUGAAUUGAAGUCGGGCCUCUAUGCCAACUGGUUCCUUUUGUUCUCAAUAAAUGUUGGGUUUGGUAAUAAA
rnacentral:misc_RNA from 1 species